AAGGAGUCGCUCUACAGCAGCAGCAGCAGCAGCAGCAUCAUUGAUCUUCAGCUCUGAUGAGGCAAAAUGUAAUGAUCUGGCCAUAAAUGAGGCUCGGUUAUAAAUAUUAUUGAUCUUCGUACUUGCUCGUACUUGAGCCGCUUGAUUAAAAAUGCUGCUGCAAAUUGUUGAUCUUAGGCUCAAAUGCCAACUACUAAAGGAAGCGUUGCUCUUGACCAGAAAGCUGACGUCGCGUUGUCUAUGUGCUGGGCAUGUGUUGCAUUCCAAGCAACUUCCUUAGAAUUCAAGUACAGCCAAGAUCACACACAAGCUUAAACUAAAAGCCAGUUUUAAAAACUUUAAUUACUGUAAUUUCAGUUUUAUCCUAUAUUUAUAUAAGCAAGAAAAGUCAGCUAAUUGUGGGAAGCCAGCCACGUAUCAAUACUAACUGAUCUGCAUUCAUUUGCUUUUGCAUUUGGAGUUGUCGACAGGAAGUGGUCGUCAGUCAAUCAAUCAAUCAGUUUUCAAUCAGAGCCAGCUCGUAAGUUAUGGAUCUGCCUUGACUUGGAUUGGCUUGGCUUGAUCUGCAGCCGUCGGACCUUCAACUGUGGACAGUUGAAGGUGGCAUGCGGUCAGCAGCAACAACGCCAACAACACCAACAACAGCAACAACAUCAACAAUAACUGCAAUGUAAAGCAUAAACGAAUGAACCUGAACCUGAACCCUGCCAGAGCUCAACUCCAACGGCUGGCUGAACGUCAAAUUGUGCACCUGUCCAACUAUCACCAUGACUACGAAACAACAGCAACAACACUAGCAGCAGCAGCAGCAACAAAAUUCGAACAACAUAUGUGCCCUGCGGCGAGUAAGAGAGUGCGAGGAAGACAGCGACCCCAGGCUGAGUGAGGCCUGGACAACUGUUGUGUGUGCCUGAGUUUGCGCAUUUUUUUCCAACGCAAUUCGUAGCCAGAUUGUGUGCCACACACACACACAAGCACUUACACACACACACACAGACAUAUGCAUGCAGAGAGACGCACGCAAUCACCCACACAUUUCCGAGUUCUGGUUCCGAAUUGUGAACGCUGUGAGAAAACUGUGUAUUGCCUGGACGAAAUAGACUCUCACACACACACACGCAAGAUGCAGCCAGGCGAUAUGGGAAUAGAGGAUAUUAGAAUGUCAGAGCGCUGGCGAAGGAUCGCCUCGGUCUGGUGCAGCUACCUGCCAGGCCACUUUGGCGCUGGCAUUCUCGGCUUGCCUAAUUUACUUGCGCCGACGCAUUGUCCUGGACUGCAGCCAAAUCAGAUGUUUGCCGUCUCUUUUCAGCUGCUGGCGGCUGCACUUGUGGCACUCAUUCAUGAAACUGAAAUCUCUACCACUUGCUUGAGCUGACAAACAAAAGGCACUGAACUGAAUGGUGAAUGGUGUUUAGGGGCCCCUCGGGGCCUUCAAGGUAUCGAUACGGAACUAAAGGAAGUAAAUUACCGGAUGUUGUAUUCUCAUUUGCUUGUUGUUCUUUGUGAUUCACCGAGAUAUCCUGCGGCUUUUGUGCACUGCGGCCCACAACAACCUUGCUCAUUUGUCAUGCCGUUCACUCGGUUCUCUCUUGUUCUUGACGCUAUUCGCAUGAAAUGACCAAUAAUAAACCUUGCCCGCCGGUUCCUCUUCUUCUA